UCUAUUUAUGUAGGGGCUAGAUUUGAUAUUCAGGGGGAAGAAGCUUGAUUUUGGAGGCUUAAACUACCAUUCGAAGCAUCUCUAGCCGGGCUUCAUUUGAUAUUGAGGAGGAAGAAGGCUUGAUUUUGGAGGCUUAAACUAUAUCUAAAGCAUCGGGUGUGGAAGAUUAGUGCUAGAUUGUCCUUUGGCAACUCGGAUGCAAUCUUAAGAAUGUGGGAAAACUGGAUUUGCAUAUGGAUUUGGACUUGGUUGCAUGAUUUUGUAGGAAGAUGCAAAGUUGACAUUUUGAUAUCUAUUUAGUUUCCUGGAUUGAAUUGCUGUAUUUGGCAACCUGAAUUUUAUAUUUCAGUUGCCUACUUACCUGUUGGAUAAUCAAUAUUAUGUUUUGCAAUGUUUUUAAAGAAAGAGUUAUCAUAUCCCAUGCUUUUAAAUAUUUAAUU